AAAGUUGUAUUGUUCCCAGGUGUCCAAUUGGUUCGGCAACAAACGCAUUCGCUACAAGAAGAACAUCGGCAAGGCUCAAGAGGAGGCGAAUCUGUAUGCCGCUAAGAAAGCAGCGGACCUGCCUUGGAUUGGCGCGUGCAGGCGCGAUGCUAGCUCCCCUCCGGCCCGACCCACCUCGUAUUACACAGCGGGUGCGUCGCCG